CUGACCUGACUGCACUCAGAAACCAAAAUUCUGCAGGUGAAUGUAGGCUCCCAUUUCGUUCCACAAUCAUUUCAUCAUUCAGGCACAGCUUGACCUCUAAUGUGACAUCACAAACGCUUCUGGUCCACAGUUUUUUUUCCUCUUCAGAAACUACCCUAAACAAGGAAGUUUGUGUUCCAAGGUAAGAGAACCUGAAGUGAAAAACUCAGGAUCCUUCACGAACAGCCUGACCCUGCUUUCAACCAGGAAGUUCAAGGGAGGCAGGACUUUACGGUCAAAACUGCAAAGCCGAAGCUCAAGACUGUAAGAAGAAAGUGGUCUUCAAAGAAAAGGAUUCACCCAAAUCGAAGAGGAUAUCGUUUCGCAACAGGGACACUCGUCUCCACACCUCCUACCUCAAAGUCCUGCGCACCUACCCUUCAUGUCUCUCCAAAGCAACUGAAUUAAAGCGCCUACUGGCCUUGGCGGCGCAGGUUUCUCCAUGA
rnacentral:lncRNA from 1 species